UACGAAGGGUGCAAGCGUUGCUCGGAAUUAUUGGGCGUAAAGGGUAGGUAGGUGGUAAUAAAAGUCUGGGGUGAAAUCCCUGAGCUCAACUCAGGACGUGCCUUGGAAACUUUAUUACUAGAGUGCUGGAGAGGUCCGCAGAAUUCCCGGUGUAGCGGUGAAAUGCGUAGAGAUCGGGAGGAAUACCAGAGGCGAAGGCGGCG
rnacentral:rRNA from 1 species